CUUUAAAAAUCUGGAUCAAGCUGAAAAUUGAAACGACACACUGUUUAAGUGUGUUCGAGUCUCUCAAAUUUUCGCAAUCAGAAGUGAAACAUCUUCGG
rnacentral:sRNA from 20 species